AUUGAACGCUGGCGGCAUGCCUAACACAUGCAAGUCGAGCGAGCGGCGGACGGGUGAGUAAUGUAUGGGGACUGCCCGAUAGAGGGGGAUAACUACUGGAAACGGUGGCUAAUACCGCAUACUAUCGGAUAACCCAUAGGGGAUUAGCUAGUAGGGGGGGUAAAGGCUCACCUAGGCGACGACCUCUAGCUGGUCUGAGAGGCUGAUCGGCCACACUGGAACUGAGACACGGCCCAGACUCCUACGGAGGCAGCAGUGGGGAAUAUUGCACAAUGGGCGAAAGCCUGAUGCAGCCAUGCCGCGUGUAUGAAGAAGGCCUUCGGGUUGUAAAGUACUUUCAGUCGGGAGGCGUUACCGACAGAAGAAGCACCGGCUAACUCCGUGCCAGCCGCCGCGGUAAUUC
rnacentral:rRNA from 1 species